UUGUUGACUUGAGCGGUAACAGAAAGUGGUUAAAACGUCAAACACAGCCAAAAUUAUAGUGAAUUUUCUAUUUAAGUUUUAAAAAUUAAUGUUAAACUAUGUUCCGUUCAUGUAAAGACGUUUCGUUUGAAUCAAAACCGAAAGAAAAUGAAGGUGUUGUGAUAGAUGAAGGAUUUCUAUGCGAUUUAUGCACUAGCGGACCAUUUUCCACUGAGUUAGAUGUGGAUAUCCACCGUAGAAACACUCAUAAAUGGGAAAUAUUGAAAGCUUUAAGAGAUGAAGACGUUCCAAUAUGUUCUAUAUGCCUCUACAUACAGAAAGACAAAGAAUCUCUAAUACAACACAUCUUAACCAACCAUCUAUGUUGCGCACCGGACGCAAAAAUAAUAAACCGAGAACUAUUCAUCUGCGACUACUGUAACCGCUUAUUCUUCAACAAAGACCUCCUAAUAACACACAUAUACCAUUACCACAUACCGAAGGAAGUCAAACAAGUAACGAAUAUACGACACAACUGUCCGAAAUGUCUAAAAAUCAUACCGGGCAAGUCUACAUGGUUCCAUCUACUAUACCAUGGCAUAUUUAACUCAAGAACGUGUCCGGUAUGCCUAUCAUCUUUCAACAGAAACACUGAAGUGCUAAAUCACAUGAAAAACCAUAAACCGUAUCUAAAAUGUAACAUAUGCGGUUUCACUACGAUGAAGGAACGUUUCUUUGCAAGUCAUUUAGAAAAACAUAAGAAAGAUGUGUAUUUAAAUGAACACGGUGAUGUGUCAAAGUAUUUUACACCGCAGCAUACGUUUCCAUCGUUGCAAAAUAGGCAGUCUCAUACCCUGAAAGGUGUGCCGUUGGCUAACGAAGUAAGAAUCUGUGUGCUAUGCAGAGCGGUAUGCCUUACUUACGAAGAAAUGGUAAUUCAUAUACACGGUGACCAUUUGCCUGAUGAGAAAGCGAAGACUAAGAAGUACCAAUGCCUAUGCGGUGAGGAUUUCUUCAAUAAUGUGUUGUUGAAGCAUCAUGUGUUUAAAAUGAGAAGCGGUCAUGCGGCUGAGGCUGAAGAAUCAGAGGACGGAGUAGUCCGCCACGUGUGUACGUGCGGCCUGCAGUUUCCCAACAGUUUGCUGCUGAAACACCACCUCGUGCAGGUCAACUCCGUGCACGGGGUCUGCGAUGGCACAGAAAUGGUCACAGACACACAAACUACGAAUGAAAUAGUUUUUCCAGAUUAUGAGAUUGAUCAACCAAUGGAAGUCAACGUAGGGGAUUUAGUUAUAGGAGUAUAGUCCGGCACUAAACUCAUCCCCUAUUACAUGGGACUUAUAACACAAAUGGUGAAAAGUGUGUGUACAUUGUAUAGCGGCAUUACGUGCCGUAAUGUGCACCUCUGCCUACCCCUUCGGUGGUUAAAAAACGUGUCAUAUUAUCACAAGCUCUUUGCAAGCCUUUUAGAAUUAAUAGGCGUGAUGUUAUUUAUACUCCUUUUUUAAUAUAUAAGGUGUUCUAAAAGUAUCUGCCACGGCUUUAAUGGGAGGUAGUGUUGUGUUUGAAGAUUACAAUAGUGAAGAAAUUUCUUACCCCGGACCAGUUAAUUCAAUUUGAGAACAUAAAGAAGUUAAAUAAACAUUGACUCUACUCUGCAUAAAGUGGUUCACAAAUAUGCACGAUGCGUCGCUUCGUCAAU